rnacentral:rRNA from 1 species
UGAGGAAUUUUGCGCAAUGGGAGCAAUCCUGACGCAGCAACGCCGCGUGGGUGAUGAAGGCCUUCGAGUCGUAAAGCCCUGUCAGGUGGGAAGAAUGUCUCGGGACUGAACAGGUUUCGGGAGUGACGGUACCACCAGAGGAAGCACCGGCUAACUCCGUGCCAGCAGCCGCGGUAAUACGGAGGGUGCAAGCGUUAUUCGGAAUUACUGGGCGUAAAGCGCGUGUAGGUGGUCCUGCAAGUCUGAUGUGAAAGCCCCGGGCUUAACCCGGGAAGUGCAUUGGAAACUGCAGGUCUUGAGUACUGGAGAGGAUGGGGGAAUUCCCGGUGUAGAGGUGAAAUUCGUAGAGAUCGGGAGGAAUAUCAGUGGCGGAGGCGCCCAUCUGGACGGUAACUGACGCUGAGACGCGAAAGCGUGGGGAGCAAACA